UCCCUGGUGGUCCAGUGUCUAAGAUUCUGAGCUCCCAAUGCAGGUGGCCCAGGUUCGAUCCCUUGUCAGGGAA
rfam:Ovis aries breed Texel chromosome 13, whole genome shotgun sequence.